UGCAUGAAGUUGCUUGUGAUGCAGACUGCCUGCCCAUCUGUGUUCUUACCGACAGCCUCCAGCUGUCUCAGAAGCAAAUCACAGCAAUUAACAGUUCAUAAACUGUGUUUCCUCACUUUCACAUACAAGUCAGCAAAGAAGAGACAACAAAGACUUACAAAAGGACAGGAACUUCCAACCAGCAGUCCAGCGAGACGAACAGCCACAGCCAGCUAACCAUGUGAAUGACCAUUGCAAUGGCUUUUCUUCAGACAGCCUAUAAAGAGUCACCGUCUGACACCAGGGAGUAAACUGUGUGAAUCACUGUCUUCCAGUUAAAUGUCAACACUGCUGCAGUAUCUCAGACAGCCACUUAUAGGAGGGAUCCUUGGUUGGGGCCCAGCAGCAGAAGUCUGUGCAGCAAAAAACAGACAGAGGGUCCUCCCUUUGCUAUACACACCAAAAUGCUGCAAAUGCAACAUUCAGUUGCUAAUGUGACAAAUGUCAAAUUCAAACUGUGUUUAACUGAUUCAAGCUUAUUAUGGAAAGUUUCUAGUCAAGGCAGCAAGUCCCUCUCUGGAACAAUUUCUGUUACAGAAGAAUCUAUGAACUAAAGGGUCGGGGACAGAAGUAAUAAAAAAUUAUUGGUUUAUAAUAAAAGAAUCAAAAUGUUUGCAUUGGCUCUCCUAUUGGCUCUCUGAAUAAUCAUUCCUACCCUAAAACAGGUAAUUAUUUUCUUUUGUGUCCAUUAAAACCACCCUUUCUGGUCUUGCAUCACAGAUUUUCAAUUCUGAUUAAGCUUCAAGCACAAUUUUCUGUCAGGAAUUGGACUUUCUCAGAACAAAGCAGUUUUCUACUGUGCACUGUAACUAUGUUCUCCAUGGCUGAGUAGCAAAAGCUGCAAUUCACCCCCAGCACCCAGUUAUGCAUAGUAUGUGGGGAAAAGCAGUAAAUUAAAAUGACAGAAUUGUCCUCAGACUCUGAAUAUUAUACUAAGCAUGCUUUGGCAUCUUAUAUUUAGAGUGAGCUAUUUUAUGCUCAUUUCCUCUUGAUACAGUUUAGUUAAUAGCUAAAUUCAGUCACAAAACCACUUGUAAAUAAGCACCUUGUUACAGAUUACAGUGUUCUCAAUCCUCAUGGCUCUUCGACCCAGUCUAUCAGCCAAUAAAAUCUACCAAUACAGUAUAUAAUUUCUGUCACGUUUGAGUGUUUUUAUACAUUAAUG